UUUCAUAUUUUGCAUAUCAGAAAUAGGAAGCAAAGAAACCAACAGGGAUUGCCUCAGUAGCGGCGAGUGAAGCGGCAAGAGCUCAGAUUUGAAAUCGCGGUGUCCGACCAGUCUGUAGGAUGGCAGGUUGGAGUCUGUGUGGAAGGCGGUGUCCAAGUCCCUUGGAACAGGGCGCCCAGGAGGGUGAGAGCCCCGUGGGAUGCCGGCGGAAGCAUUGAGGCCCUUCGGAGGAGUCGAGUUGUUUGGGAAUGCAGCUCCAAGCGGGUGGUAAAUUCCAUUUAAGGCUAAAUACUGGCGAGAGACCGAUAGCGAACAAGUACUGUGAAGGAAAGAUGAAAAGCAUUUUGAAAAGAGAGUGAAACAGCACGUGAAAUUGUUGAAAGGGAAGGGUAUUGCGCCCGACAUGGGGAUUGCGCACCGCUGCCUCUCGUGGGCGGCGCUCUGGGCUUUCCCUGGGCCAGCAUCGGUUCUUGCUGCAGGAGAAGGGGUUCUGGAACUGGCUCUUCGGAGUGUUAUAGCCAGGCCCAGAUGAUGCGUGCGGGGACCGAGGACUGCGUCCGGCUAAUGCCAUGAACUGCUGCGCAGGAACUUGCGGGAA
rnacentral:rRNA from 1 species